AAUAACCAAAUAGAACACUAGGGCUAAGGGUCAAAUUGGUAAUUUUUCUUACAUCUCCCCCCCCUGGGGCCCAGGUAUCAUAUACACCUCCAAAAUAAAGAGCCUUAAGUACUAGAAGAAAAGCACCCACACCUAACAAGAUUAAGUGAAUGCCCAAAAUGGUAGUCAUUUUAUUUCUAUCUUUCCA
rfam:Centrolepis monogyna photosystem II D2 protein (psbD) and photosystem II CP43 protein (psbC) genes, partial cds; chloroplast.